UACGGGGGGGGCAAGCGUUGUUCGGAAUUACUGGGCGUAAAGGGCUCGUAGGCGGCCAACUAAGUCCGACGUGAAAUCCCCAGGCUUAACCUGGGAAUUGCAUCCGAUACUGGAUGGCUUGAAUCCGGGAGAGGGAUGCGGAAUUCCAGGUGUAGCGGUGAAAUGCGUAGAUAUCUGGAGGAACACCGGUGGCGAAGGCGGCAUCCUGGACCGGCAUUGACGCUGAGGAGCGAAAGCCAGGGGAGCAAACGGG
rnacentral:rRNA from 1 species